UACGUAGGCAGCGAGCGUUGUUCGGAGUUACUGGGCGUAAAGAGUGCGUAGGCGGUGCCCUAAGUCUGGUGUGAAAUCUCCCGGCUUAACUGGGAGGGUGCGCCGAAGACUGGAAGGCUUGAGUAUGGGAGAGGUAAGCGGAAUUCCUGGUGUAGCGGUGAAAUGCGUAGAUAUCAGGAGGAACACCUGCGGUGUAGACGGCUUACUGGACCAUAACUGACGCUGAGGCACGAAAGCGUGGGUAGCAAACAGG
rnacentral:rRNA from 1 species